UACGUAGGGUGCAAGCGUUGUCCGGAAUCAUUGGGCGUAAAGCGCGUGUAGGCGGCCCGGUAAGUCCGCUGUGAAAGUCGGGGGCUCAACCCUCGAAUGCCGGUGGAUACUGUCGGGCUAGAGUGCGGAAGAGGCGAGUGGAAUUCCUGGUGUAGCGGUGAAAUGCGUAGAGAUCGGGAGGAACAUCCGUGGCGAAGGCGGAUCUCUGGGCCAUUACUGACGCUGAGGAGCGAAAGCGUGGGGAGCGAACAGG
rnacentral:rRNA from 1 species